AAACUUAAAAUGAAGAACAUUUUCGACAUAAACAAAUUAAGUUUGCUACUUGUACAUGUAUAGGUGAGUUGACAACUUAUUUUAAGGAGUUUGUCAUACUGAAAAAGAAAGAAAGAUGUCAACUUAUUAAUAUAUGGAUUUUCAACACACAGUCUUGCUUUCACCUAACAAUAGAAAGUAUUAAGUUCCUGAAACUUGUAAAUCUCGUGACCAAACUUAUAAAGCUGAUAACACGACUGAACGUUCAGGACCUUCCAGACCACGCCUGAGAAGUAACAGAAAUGAUGGCACAGGAUCCUGUAGCCUGCAUCGAACAUCAAAGAUAAAUGACGAAUUCAGACGGAUCUCUACAUUCAUUCAUUGCACAACUGGACCAGUUGCCAUUGCUUUAAAAAUAAACAAUGCUUUCAGAAAA